rnacentral:tRNA from 1 species
GCUUAGCUAGCUCAGUUGGUACAGCCUCAGCCUUUUAAUCUGAGGGUCCAGGGUUCGAGUCCCUAGUCAGGCA